CCGUUUCGAAGACAUUUCAAGACUCCUCAAAAAUUAUUCUAUCCAACCUGUGAAAAAAUAGUAGCUCUCCUGCUCCACGAGACAAUUUUUCGAUUCAUUCACAAAUGCGCGGCUAUGAUGCACAACUAUUUUUUUGAACCAAAGAAAGAUGGCGGCGUGAAGCAAGAUAUUUUUGUCGAGAUUGUGCUAAACUGGAUCAGCCAGAGGGACGAACUAGCAUUUCACAUUUUUGCUGUCCCACGAAAUGGGAAAGGGGGUGGGUCACUUCCGGCUACCAUGUUUUCUGUUCUGGUUGAAAAGUCUAUUAAAUAAGGAAACACAUUGGUGAAAGCUAAACUAAUUAAUCAUGUGUGUCUACCUGCUACUUACAUGAGUUUUACAUAACUUAACUAUAAUCAUCAUGAGUUUGCUUUUGUGUAUGUGUGGUUGUGGUAGAAUCCACCAAGAAUCAAACAUGACCAAAUCAUUUGUUCCACUGGCUUUUUCAACAGGAUGUUUUUCUCUGUCUGGAACGGUAUUUGCUUUAUUUCUGUACUGUAGCCUAUCAUUUACAGAACUAUUCUAGCUUCAGUCUUUUGCUUUAUGCUGCACCAUUAACACAUCACAAUGCAUGACAUUUCAAUGAAAGACAUGAAAAUUUUAUUUUUCUCUGUGGCAAUCUUAAGGCCUAUAAUGAACCACAAGAAAUAAUAAAACAUUCUGUUAGAUGACCAAGGUACCAAAAUAAUUAACAUAGAAUAGAGCACAGAGCAUUUAAAAAAAAAAAAAACUAAAUAGUCAAGUGUCCUCACUCAAAAUGACGGAUCUAUCCAUUUAACAUUUUUUGAAAAAUGUAGUUAGUCUCAAUGAUAAAACUUUAUUCCACAAUUGCACCUCUAGGGGGAGGCCAGGUGCAGUGCAUGUAAACACUUCUAAUGCAAGUCCAGCUGCAACUGUGGAAUGGUUAAUUGGUUAAGCCAAUUACCUCAAUUACUUAAGUCAUGUAUGCUGUUUAUAAUUGGUACCAGCAAAUUGUGUUUAGUGGUGACACAUAUUGGCUUUAGUGACUCAAGUGAAUACAGAGAGCGGGAUCCUUGAUACACUGUAGAGCUCAUAUAGCAGGUUGAGCACCAAAAAAAAGGGUAAGUGUGCAAUGCCAAGAUGUUGUAGCUGAAAUAAACACACCACAGGCAGAAUGUCACAUUUUUGCACUCUUUGUUCGUACGUUAAGUUUUUCAGCAACACAUUUUUGACAUUGAUACAGUGCAAAUGCACAAUAGCACAACAGACACCAUUAAGGAUACAUACUAUUUUUUAAAAGUCAAUACAGCAGAUUUUGACAAUUUGCAUGUUUGAUUUUUUUUCUUUUGCUAAACAUAAAUAUGUUUGUCCUCCAUUUAAUCUUUCAGUGUCCAACAGACUGGUUCUCUUCACUGGUAGGGACCCUUUAACACAGAGAAGCAUUUGGAAAUCAAUGGCAAGUCAUUUUCCAAGUGUGGUCGGCAACUUCUGCAAGGUCAUGACGAGUGGUGAAGCAGGGCACUGUCAGCAUCUGUUUCCCAUCAUGCCCAGGAGCAGUGUGGUCAUCGGAGACGUGUUCCUCCAAUCAGUCAUACUUUUUUCAACUAUGCGCCCGUUCUAGAUGAAUUUCAGCCAUACUGUAAACCGGUGCUGAUGUUAAACAUGUCUACUUUGUCUUGAUAUGCAUAUUAUAUUAA